CAUCAUAAGGAGCCUAGACUUCCCAUUUGAAGGUGGCCAUUUCCUACCACCUUCAAAUGGUAAGUCCAGGUUCCUUCUGAUUCAAUAAAUGAGGAGC
ensembl:miRNA